GCCCAGAUGCCAUGCAGUUAAAUACCAGCAAACCCCGCCAGAUUGGGAACAAAGCAGCGGUAGUUGGAUAUUUGACGUGCCGUGGUUUAUCUGGGCUUU
rnacentral:SRP_RNA from 1 species